AAACCAUGAUGAGGACAUGAUCUGAGCAUAUUUUUAAAUCUAUCCCACAGUUCAUAGAGAGACUCAGUAUCAGUCUGUCUAAAACUAGCAAUUAGAUUCCGAAUAU